CCAGCUCCAAUAGCGUAUAUUAAAGUUGUUGCAGUUAAAAAGCUYGUAGUUGAAUUUCGGGAUCAAUAUUUCGGUCAUGCCGUUGGUAUGCACUGUUAUCAUUGAUUUCUCACCUUCUAAAGAACCGUAAUGCCAUUAAUUUGGUGUUACGGGGAAUUAGGACUGUUACCUUGAAAAAAUUAGAGUGUUUAAAGCAGGCUCACGCUUGAAUACAUUAGCAUGGAAUAAUGAAAUAGGACAUCCGAUUCUAUUUUGUUGGUUUCUAGGAUCGAUGUAAUGAUUAAUAGGGAUAGUUGGGGGCAUUAGUAUUCAAUUGUCAGAGGUGAAAUUCUUGGAUUUAUUGAAGACUAACUACUGCGAAAGCAUUUKCCAAGGAUGUUUUCAUUAAUCAAGAACGAAAGUUAGGGGAUYGAAGACGAUCAGAUACCGUCGUAGUCUUAACCAUAAACUAUGCCGACUAGGGAUCGGAUGAUGUUAAUUUUUUAAUGACUCAUUCGGCGCCUUACGGGAAAC
rnacentral:rRNA from 1 species